GAUGAACGCUGGCGGCGUGCCUAAUACAUGCAAGUCGAGCGAACGGACGAGAAGCUUGCUUCUCUGAUGUUAGCGGCGGACGGGUGAGUAACACGUGGAUAACCUACCUAUAAGACUGGGAUAACUUCGGGAAACCGUAGCUAAUACCGGAUAAUAUUUUGAACCGCAUGGUUCAAAAGUGAAAGACGGUCUUGCUGUCACUUAUAGAUGGAUCCGCGCUGCAUUAGCUAGUUGGUAAGGUAACGGCUUACCAAGGCAACGAUGCAUAGCCGACCUGAGAGGAUGAUCGGCCACACUGGAACUGAGACACGGUCCAGACUCCUACGGGAGGCAGCAGUAGGGAAUAUUCCGCAAUGGGCGAAAGCCUGACGGAGCAACGCCGCGUGAGUGAUGAAGGUCUUCGGAUCGUAAAACUCUGUUAUUAGGGAAGAACAUAUGUGUAAGUAACUGUGCACAUCUUGACGGUACCUAAUCAGAAAGCCACGGCUAACUACGUG
rnacentral:rRNA from 1 species